rnacentral:snRNA from 1 species
AUAGCUUCCCGGCCUUUUGGCUAAGAUCAAGUGUAGUAUCUGUUCUUAUUAGUUUAAUAUCUGAUAUGUCCUUUAUCCGAGGACAAUAUAUUAAAUGGAUUUUUGGAAUUAAGAGAUGGAAUAGGGGCCUGCUCCGUCCACUCCACGUGUCGAUGGUAUUGUGGUACUUUAAGGAAUGGUGCACCCCCU